rnacentral:rRNA from 1 species
GAUGAACGCUGGCGGCGUGCCUAAUACAUGCAAGUCGAGCGAACAGACGAGGAGCUUGCUCCUCUGACGUUAGCGGCGGACGGGUGAGUAACACGUGGAUAACCUACCUAUAAGACUGGGAUAACUUCGGGAAACCGGAGCUAAUACCGGAUAAUAUAUUGAACCGCAUGGUUCAAUAGUGAAAGACGGUUUUGCUGUCACUUAUAGAUGGAUCCGCGCCGCAUUAGCUAGUUGGUAAGGUAACGGCUUACCAAGGCAACGAUGCGUAGCCGACCUGAGAGGGUGAUCGGCCACACUGGAACUGAGACACGGUCCAGACUCCUACGGGAGGCAGCAGUAGGGAAUCUUCCGCAAUGGGCGAAAGCCUGCCGUAGCAACGCCGCGUGAGUGAUGAAGGUCUUCGGAUCGUAAAGCUCUGUUAUUAGGGAGGAACAAAUGUGUAAGUAACUAUGCACGUCUUGACGGUACCUAAUCAGAAAGCCACGGCUAACUACGUG